GACGAACGCUGGCGGCGUGCCUAAUACAUGCAAGUAGAACGCUGAAGAGAGGAGCUUGCUCUUCUUGGAUGAGUUGCGAACGGGUGAGUAACGCGUAGGUAACCUGCCUUGUAGCGGGGGAUAACUAUUGGAAACGAUAGCUAAUACCGCAUAACAAUGGAUGACACAUGUCAUUUAUUUGAAAGGGGCAAUUGCUCCACUACAAGAUGGACCUGCGUUGUAUUAGCUAGUAGGUGAGGUAAUGGCUCACCUAGGCGACGAUACAUAGCCGACCUGAGAGGGUGCUCGGCCACACUGGGACUGAGACACGGCCCAGACUCCUACGGGAGGCAGCAGUAGGGAAUCUUCGGCAAUGGGGGCAACCCUGACCGAGCAACGCCGCGUGAGUGAAGAAGGUUUUCGGAUCGUAAAGCUCUGUUGUAAGUCAAGAACGGGUGUGAGAGUGGAAAGUUCACACUGUGACGGUAGCUUAACAGAAAGGGACGGCUAACUACGUG
rnacentral:rRNA from 1 species